rnacentral:lncRNA from 1 species
GGUCCCUGGCGACAAUAUAAUGGUUGCAACCCUGUAACAUGAAAUCGCAUUGUGGCAUACCAAGGACGGUGAAGUCCUGGACCAAUUAUGCUGGCCCCUAGCGAUAAAUAUUUUUACAACACAUACGGUAAACACAUAAUAUUAAAAUGGACAAAUAUUAACCACGUGCAUGUACUGAAAUAAAUCCCACACCUGAAAAUAUGGAUUUGAUAGAUAACUUGAAUAAUUUCAGAUCAACAGUUAUGUCCUAGUCGCGCCGCACCUAGUCAGAUAAAUUCAAAUAAUAAAACAUAAGGACUUAAUUAAAAUAUUUUAAAUAUAAUUAAACUUGAGAAAAUUAUUUAUAUAAGUUUUUUUUAGAAAAUCUGAAAUGGGAAUAAUAAUUAAAAGAGUAACUAUGGGCUUAAAUAAAUUAUGCUCACUACUUAAAAGAAUUAACUAAAUUAGAAGCCCAAUUCAAUUAAUAAAAUUAAGACCCAAAAUAAAGCCCAUUCCUAAGCCCAUCUAACAAUCCCUAAUUAAACUUACACACACCCCAACACUCCCACGACACAAACACAUAGCAGAUUCACUAAAAUUCACAACUCACGCCUCUUCCCUCUCAGCCGCUCUCUCUCUUCUCUCCACCCCUCUAUCUCCCUCUUGGCCUCCUACCACCGCGCCACCGGACGGCCGCCACCGCCGGAGGCCGGCGGCUCCUACCUCCUCACUCUCCUUCCCUAUUUUCCUAUCUCCCUUCAUCCUCCCCUGCCCCUGUCCUCGCCGUCCCAGCCACCUCCUCCUUCGACCGGAACAGCACAGCAGAGCCGAGACCGCGCCGCCACCGCCACCGCCACCGCGACGGACAGCAGCACAGCCCAAACGCUUCUCCCUCCGCCCUGACCGGUAAUACACAGCAGCGGCAGAGACCACGGUGCCGCUGCCCCUGUUUCCUCUCGCCGUACGCCGCCCCUACUUCUCCCCGCCACCGCCUCUGCACCAACUCCUCCCCCAAAGUUCAGUCCAACUCUCUUUUAUCAGUCUAGAUUUUCAAAAUUUCUUUCUCUGUAAACUAUGGAUAUGAAUUCUAUUUGAUUUCAUAUUAAAUAUAAAUGAUAGAUUUGAUGAUGUAUGCAUGUAUGAAUUUGGAAAUCUUGGUUUUGAGCAGAGAAUGAAGAAACAAUUUAGAUGCUGAAAUAAAAUUUCAUAGUAUCUGCACAAAAGAAAUCAAAAUUACCACUUGAGCGAAAAUGAACAGACGAGAAGUUGGUGUAAGAAAACAAAUGAGGAAAACGAAUUGGGGAUGAUGAAUUGAGGAUGAUGGAUUGAGGUAUAAAUAGGAGAAGUUACGUCGGCAGCAAUGAGAAGUAAAUACUUGUUCGAUGCUGUAGAAUUCAAAGUUUUGAAUGUGAAAGAAAUCAAAUUUCCUGCUGUAGAAUUCAAAGUUUGAUGCUGUGGAGGAAUCAAAAAUCAACAUUUGCUGCAGAUGAUAACAGAUGGUGGCUGAGGAAAUUUACACUUGCUUUCUAAGUUUCAGAAUAAAAUAUAGCUGAAGAUAAAAUCAAAGUUUGCUGAUCAAAGUUUGCUGCUGGAAAUCAAAGUUUGCUGCUCAAAGUUUGCUACUGUAGUGUUUGUCAAAUACUUACGUAAAGGAAUUUAUCCAAAAUGAUUUCUUAUAAAAGAUUUUCUUUUUAAGGAAUUUUGGUUAUGUGCAUAUGUACAGAGGGGUUUGGUUUAAUGGGCUUGUUUUGUUUCACAAAAUAAAUGAGAAUGAAAGAAAAACGUAGUAAUUUGCUGUGAUGAAUUAAAACAUGAAAUCUCACAGAAACAAUAAAAUUGCCAAUUGAAGUUUUGUGAAGGAAAUAUCAGAAAUGAGAAGUCUGUUAACGUGAAUGAAAUUUGUGCUCUGGAAAAUUUUGAUGAAAUGAAACCUAAAUUUUGAUGAAAUGAAACCUAGCAGGUUAUUUGGGUGAAUUUAAAUGUGAUAGCAGUGAGUGAUACGUGGCUGAAUAAAAUUAGGUGACUGAAGGUGAUUAAAUCCGAAUAUGUGGCUAAGGAAAAACUGAACCACGUAACAUCUCAUUUUAAUUAAAGAAAGACAUAUGGACUUAUAAUAAUAAUUGGGCUUUAAAGAUGAUAAAUGGGCUUUCAAAUAAUAAAAUUUUAACCCAAUUA